rnacentral:rRNA from 1 species
GGGCCCGCACAAGCGGUGGAGCAUGUGGUUUAAUUCGAUGCAACGCGAAGAACCUUACCUACUCUUGACAUCCUGCGAAUUUGGUAGAGAUACCUUAGUGCCUUCGGGAACGCAGAGACAGGUGCUGCAUGGCUGUCGUCAGCUCGUGUUGUGAAAUGUUGGGUUAAGUCCCGUAACGAGCGCAACCCCUUGUCCUUAUUUUGCCAGCGCGUAAUGGCGGGAACUCUAAGGAGACUGCCGUGACAAACCGGAGGAAGGUGGGGACGACGUCAAGUCAUCAUGGCCCUUACGAGUAGGGCUACACACGUGCUACAAUGGUCGGUACAAAGGGUUGCCAACUCGCGAGAGUGAGCCAAUCCGAAAAGCCGAUCUC